rnacentral:rRNA from 1 species
CAGCAGCCGCGGGAAAACGUAGGGUGCAAGCGUUACUCGGAAUUACUGGGCGUAAAGCGUGCGUAGGUGGUGGUUUAAGUCCGUUGUGAAAGCCCUGGGCUCAACCUGGGAAUUGCAGUGGAUACUGGGUCACUAGAGUGUGGUAGAGGAUAGCGGAAUUUCCGGUGUAGCAGUGAAAUGCGUAGAGAUCGGAAGGAACAUCAGUGGCGAAGGCGGCCAUCUGGGACAACACUGACGCUGAGGCACGAAAGCGUGGGGAGCAAACAGGAUUAGAUACCCGCGUAGUCCCUGUCUCUUAUAA